GCUAGAAUAUAUUCUAAUUUUGCUGCCCAAUAAAACCGAAAUCCUCUGUCUGUUGCAACAUAAAAGUGGCUUAAUUCUUCCCUAGAAGAUAUCGAAUUUUCCCAAGAAGAGACUUUAUAUUCGCGUUGAAAUUCUAUUUAGUUUGAUUAAUUUUAAACCAUGUCCGGCAAUACACAGCAAAACAGAAGCAGUAACACUACUGGGAACAACAUUCCUAGACGGGAUCGAGAGCAGACUUUCAGCAGCCCGCAGGCCCAAGCCAGGCAUUACUACUGGGUUCGUCAUAAUCAAAACCCCAACACUUCUGGAAGUGGCCAGAGGUCUACUGGCGGCGGAGGAGGCCCGAUAAGCUAUCGUGGACAAGGAUACAAUGGCAACACUGGAGGAGGUCAGAGCAGUGCUAAUGAAUCUUCGUGUGAAAUAUCGUGAGAAAUUGGAAUCUCAUCUCAUCGUGGUUGGAUAGUGUCUAGUAUAUACAUGUAAUAUACAUAUUCAUACAUUUGCCUAAAAGCAGAAUUUGAGAGACUUCCGGUCGCACUGUCCUAUCAAAAGUGUUGACUUCCGAAAUGCAGCAUGUAACUUUAGAUUAGUCAAUUACAGUGUGUGACUUUUUGAGAUACUUACCCGUUAAAUAGUUUUAGGAGUGUGGCGGAUAGUCAAAAAUUAAUGGUCAAGUGUACAGGAUAUAUAUCGACAGUGACAUCAACUUUAGUUCUUUAUGUAAACGGGUAACUUAACAACGAUAACGAUGAAGAGAACAUUUGGGAAUUACAAUUUAUUCACGCUGUGCUUUGGACAGGGGGACAUUACUGAAACUUUCACGGGGAUCCCAGGAUUUAUUCAUGAAGAAGGACGGCUUAGUGUUACAGCUACCUGCUUGAGAGACGAAUGUGUAGGGUCACUGGUCAGAUUGUGGAGAACAUUAUUCAACAGUAGGUUAGAUAAAUAGUUAGUUGGUUAUGAUAAAAAUACUUCCUGUUAAUUCACUGCUUUACCAAUUGCCUAAAAGUGACGCUUUUACUUCAGUCCUGAGCCCUUUCCCUUCCCCCAAGAAGUACCCUUUCGUCAUAUGUCAAACUUGAUUACAAGAUGACAACCGAAUUCCUGAGCUCAGAUAAGCCUGUUACAUUUAUUUUGACCAGGCGACAUAAUGUUUUUGUUACGAAUCCUUGCAAACAAUCUCUUUUACAAUCUCUUCUACUGUGUAUUCAUUUUCUGCUGUGUAUUCAUUUCAUGAUGUGUAUAUUCUAUUUUUCUUAAAUGUUAGUUGUGUGUGUCAUGUAAAUGUAUGUAUGUCAUUAGAAUAUCAGCAAUUAAAAUACACUUCUGGUGUUUAUUCGACACA